GAUGAACGCUGGCGGCGUGCCUUAUACAUGCAAGUCGAGUGGGUUGAGACCCACGGCAAACGGGUGAGUAACACGUAGGUACUGUCCUUGUCACAGGAAUAACCCUCCGAAAGGAGGGCUAAUACCUGAUGUGAUCGCAAGAUGAAAGGGUAUCCGCAAGGAUUACCGGACAAGAAGAGGCCUGCGGCCUAUCAGCUAGUUGGCGGGGUAAAUGCCCACCAAGGCUAUGACGGGUAGCUGGUCUUAUGAGGAUGAGCAGUCACAUGGGCACUGAGACACGGGCCCAACUCCUACGGGAGGCAGCAGUAGGGUAUUUUGCGCAAUGGGCGAAAGCCUGACGCAGCGACGCCGCGUGCGGGAUGAAGGCCUUCGGGUCGUAAACCGCUUUUAUAAGGGACGAACUUUGACGGUACCUUAUGAAUAAGCGGUUGCUAACUCUGUG
rnacentral:rRNA from 1 species